rnacentral:tRNA from 1 species
UCCCUGAUAGCUCAGUUGGUAGAGCGCCGGACUGUUAAUCCGUAGGUCCCUGGUUCGAGCCCAGGUCGGGGAGCCA